UGGAAUUCAUAUCUUAGCACUAGGUCAAUUUUUUUAUUUAUUUUUGUAGUCAGAUUCUUCUAUGUAAACCUUUUGUGUUCAUCUACAUGAUUCUUGGACACAAAUUUAUGGUGUAGUAUUUCAAUUCUUUCUCUGUUCGGGUGGUACUAAAGGCAUCCCUUUUGCCAAUUAUUUGGUAUUGACUUGUUAUCGAUGUCGAAGAUUAAAUGUUUUAAGAAUCCACUAAAGUCUGCUAAAGAAUAUGCUUCAUCAUCAACUACCCCAGCGCCAAGAGCCCUCCCAGAUGCUUCAACAAAUCACUCACAAGUUCAUGAAGUCCAACAACAACAAGUAGCUCAUACUCUCCCCCAACAAGAACAAGUUUCAAUUCUCCCACAACAAGAACAAGCUUCAAUUUUUUCGCCGCAAGAACAAGCUUCAAUUCUACCUUCUAAUUUAAGUGCAACAUUGGUGCAUCGACGUUUAUCUCCAAAAUAUUGGAGAGUAGAUACAGAAGAUAUAUAUGUCUUAUACUCAAAAAAGUUAUCAAGCAAAUUAAUGUCAAGAUCAAUGAGGUUAAUUACCUACCUGUUGGAGAGCGUAUCAUUGUGAAUUUUGAUGACUAUGAUGCAGCAUAUGGUGAUGUGCAAGGAUUACUCACCGGCUAUUGUGGAUCAUUUGCAAUUAAUUGUAAUUUAUUUUCUAUUAGUUUUGAGAAGUGGUCAUGGCCAUCAGGCAUGCCUAGGAAGUACAAGGAAGACUGCUUUGGAACAAUACUGAAGUGUCGUUUUCUUUUUCGGACAAAUGAGUCCAUUGCAUACAGAUAUUUGUAAUGCUAGUAUCUCAAAGAAGUGGGCUACACAUAGGCAAAGGUUAUGGAAUGAAUAUUUUGGCCCAUCCAAAAGCAAAAAUGAGAUUAUUGGUAAUGUACCAUCUGGUAUAACUAAAGAUCAAUGGUCUAGUUUUGUUGCUUACCGCCUGAAACCAUCAACAAUAGAGCUUUGUAGAAGAAAUAAAGAAAUUCAGUGGAAGCAAAACAAGCCACACACUGGUGGUUCAAAAGCUAACUCAAGAAGACGAUAUGAACUAAAAAGCUCCUAGUCGUGGACAAAUGUUUAUUGAAACUCAUAAGAGAAAUAAUGGAUCAUUUGUGAAUGAUGAGGCUCGAACCAUAGCGGAACAAAUUGAAUCGCAUAUGACUCAGUGUAACAUCAAUGAGUCAGAAGUUUCCCCAGGAGAUAUUAUUGGCAAGAUGUUAGGGGCAGAGCACUCUGGAAGAGUAAGAUGUAUGGAUAUGAGAGCAGCUCCAUCAAACACAUUCGUAAAUAUCAAACGACGAUGUAGCGAGUUGAGCAUGUCUUCCUCUAGCUAUGGUGAAUCAUCAACAACUUCUACCUAUUUGCAUAAAAAGGUUGCGCGUUUGGAUUCCCAAUUAGAAGUUACCCUGACUGCGUUGAAGAAUCACAUGAUAUCAAAGAAAGGAGGGAUUCCUGAAGAGUUUGCUAGUUUUUUUCUCCUUAACCAUAGCCUGCAGAAGCGGAAGAGAAUGAACCUAUUUCACUGGUGGAUGUAAGGGGCUCAUCACCUGAUAACAACGCAAACCUUCAAUUAAAUGCUUAGUGUUUUAUUCGUAGACAACAUAAAUUCUUCAUAUGGCUUUGAAUUUGUAAUAUUUGUCUAGAUGUGUUUACCGUAGUUUAGUUUGAUGUUCAGUCCCUACUUUAGUUUGAUGUUUCAGUACUUUCAUUAGUUUGAUGUUUAGUACCUACUUUAAUUUAAUGUUUAGUACUAACAUUAGUUUGAUGUUUA